UACGUAGGGGGCAAGCGUUGUCCGGAAUCAUUGGGCGUAAAGCGCGCGUAGGCGGCCCGGUAAGUCCGCUGUGAAAGUCCAGGGCUCAACCCUGGAAAGCCGGUGGAUACUGCCGGGCUAGAGUCCGGAAGAGGCGAGUGGAAUUCCUGGUGUAGCGGUGGAAUGCGCAGAUAUCAGGAGGAACGCCAAUAGCGAAGGCAGCUCGCUGGGACGGUACUGACGCUGAGGUGCGAAAGCGUGGGGAGCAAACAGG
rnacentral:rRNA from 1 species